rnacentral:rRNA from 1 species
CGCCGGCUUACCCUAUGAAGGCCCCACAGUAAGGAGAAUGGGUAAUACCCAAAACGUCAGGUCGAGGUGUAGCGUACGAAGUAGGAAGAAAUGGGCUACAUUAUCUGAGACAGAUUACUCACGAAAGGCUACCUGAAACAGAUAGCCUGAAGGCGGAUUUAGCAGUAAGGAAAGAGCAGAGCGCUUUCCUGAAGUCGGCUCUGAAGCGCGCACACACCGCCCGUCACUCUCCCCAACAGUACCCUUAUCUAGUACCUUAACAUAAUAAUAACCGCAAGGGGAGGCAAGUCGUAACAUGGUAAGUGUACCGGAAGGUGCACUUGGAACAA